rnacentral:rRNA from 1 species
UACGAAGGGGGCUAGCGUUGCUCGGAAUCACUGGGCGUAAAGGGUGCGUAGGCGGGUCUUUAAGUCAGUGGUGAAAGCCUGGAGCUCAACUCCAGAACUGCCAUUGAAACUGUUAGACUUGAGUACGAGAGAGGUGAGUGGAAUUCCCAGUGUAGAGGUGAAAUUCGUAGAUAUUGGGAAGAACACCAGUGGCGAAGGCGGCGAUCUGGGAAGUUACUGACGCUGAGGUGCGAAAGCGUGGGGAGCAAACAGG